rnacentral:sRNA from 1 species
CAAAGAAAGAAAUUCACAUGCAGCUUUUAUCAAAAGAGAGCAUAUCUUUGAAGAUGCAGGGUCGACUUCCUUGUCUCAAGAUGGUUCCAUGUCUUCCCAGCCUACCUUACCCAGAUGGCUUUCCCUUCUUCUGAAUGCCUUCUGUGUUUGCUGCCAGACUGCCUGAUGAAAUGUUCUACCGGUGCUGAUUCAUCUCCCUUCCAGUCCAUCCGGUCACAUGACACAUGCCUGUGUUGUUCAGAGUCUGGUUGUUAUGAUACAUGUCUGCGGGUCAUGGAUGAGACGCCUGGCUAAAGCUCUAAAGAAGAUGUGUCCCUGUGUGGGUCUGUGUUCUACCCUGCUGCAGGGCAUGGUGGCUUGGGAGGCAAAAGGAGGCUGUAUAAAGAGGCAGAUUCCUGGAUAAAGUCGAAUUAUGCAUGACGAUCUAUACCAGGACCCAAAUCUCAGGUAAUUGGUUUCUGCACACAGACGGGCACCAACUGUCGAAUAAGACCUCGGAGGUACACGAUAUUCCUCAUCUCUUUGUCUUGUUUUAUUUUGUUUUUUACCUCAAAGCUAAAGUUACAAAACAAACACUGGAGUACCCAUCCCCCUAGGACUCUGUACUGGCUGUUUUUUUGUGUCAACUUGACACAAGCUGGAGUUAUCACAGAAAAGGAACCUCGGUUGUGGAAAUGCCUCCAUGAGACCCAGCUAUAAUUCAUUUUCUCAACUAGGGGUCAAGGGAAGAGGACCAGAUCAUUGUGGGUGGUGCUGUCCCUGG